UACCUGGUUGAUCCUGCCAGUAGCUAUAUUCUUGUUUUUACGAUUAAGCCAUGCAUGUGUUAAGAUUAAAUUUUUAUCCGAUGAAUCUGCGAAUGGCUCAUUAAAACAGUUAUAAUUUAUUUGAUGGUCAACUCCUAUAUGGAUAACUGAGGUAAUUCUUGAGCUAAUACAUGCGCCCAGUCUCAACUUCACGGACGAGACGUGCUUAUUAGAUACAGAACCAACCCAUGCUUGCAUGGUUUUUUGGUGAUUCAUAAUAACCGAACGAAUCGCAUAGCAUUGCUGGCGAUGAAUCAUUCAAGUUUCUGACCUAUCAGCUUCCGACGUUAGGGUAUUGGCCUAACGUGGCAAUGACGGGUAACGGAGAAUUAGGGUUCGAUUCCGGAGAGGGAGCCUGAGAAACGGCUACCACAUCUAAGGAAGGCAGCAGGCGCGCAAAUUUUCCAAUCCUGACAUGGGGAGAAAGUGACAAGAAAUAACAAUACAGGGCAUCCAUGUCUUGUAAUUGGAAUGAGUAGAAUUUAAAACUCUCUGCGAGUAUCAAUUGGAGGGCAAGUCUGGUGCCAGCAGCCGCGGUAAUUCCAGCUCCAAUAGC
rnacentral:rRNA from 1 species